rnacentral:lncRNA from 1 species
UCGGGGUUCCUGAGCGGCGAACAUGUGGCUUCGGAACACAGGAAAUGCUGUUUGGUCUCAGCUCGGGUUGCUGUAUUGCGUGGUUCGACCCCUGGCCUGCGAAGAAAGAAGCCUGGAAUCUGAGCAGCCCUUCCCCUCAUAGGAGGAGAAGGCCGUUGUCUCCCCACGGGGGGCGCUGAGGGGAGCGUGGAUUUCCAGCCACGUUCCUGCUUGGCUUCGGGCACCUGCUCAGAGCCGCUUUGUCCUGCACCCUCGGCGCCACAAUGAGACGGAAAGUGGGGUUGGCCGUCUUGCCUCUCCUGUGGUUCAUGCCUCAGGCAUCAGUGACAAAGUCAAGAGAAAAAGAAGAGUUGCCAUAAACAAAUCUUUCCAAACCUGGGAGCCGUGCACAAAGACCAUGGACCCCCUGGGCUGCGAGCCCCUCCCCGCCCCGCUCCAUCCUCCACACCCACCGGACGCCUGGCUGUGGCGUGGCGGGCUCUGUGUCCACCUGCGGCCCCUCUAUGGCCCCCACCUGGCAGGGGCCCAGGGGUAGGAUGCAGGUCCCUCUGCGGCGUGGCUGUCGGACUGCAGGCUGGCUUGGAGUGACCUCCCUCUGGCACCCUUCAGGGAAGACUUGACUGCUGUGCAAACCGCCGCCCGGGUCCCUCUGCCUGAGCCAGCCCGUGCAGGUGCCACACCUCCGCCUCCCGCCACCAUCCGUCCAGACCUGGGCCUGC